rnacentral:tRNA from 1 species
GCCAGUGUGGUGUAGUGGUUUGAGCACUGGACUAUGACUCUGCAGACCAAAGUUCGAAUUCUGGCUCAGCCA